UAAGAAAAAAUGUUUCUUAGAGAAAAAAGAACAAACAAGCGUAAAAAGAAGAAAGGAGAACACAAAGAAAGAAGAAUAUAAGCAAGAAGAAAAAAAGAAAAAGAAAUGGAAAAAGAAAAUGUAAAAGAAAAAGAAUGAAGAAGAGAAAAAAGAGAAAAGAGAGAAGAAGAAGAAGUCAAAGAAAUGAAAAUGAGAAAAUAAGGUUUCCGGAUUUGUUUUUCUAGACAACAAGGUAAUUACUUUUAAUUUUUUUUUUCUAUAUAUGUUUGAAUGUAUAUAUUUUUCCUUGUUCUUCAUUUUUUUUCUUUCUUUAUUCCUCUUACCUUUUUUCUCUUUUUUUUUGUUUGUUUUUGUAAGCUAAAAGUGAUAUAUUUCUUCUUCUUAAUUUUUUUCAUCUAUUUCUUUUUUUCUUUCUUUCUUUCUUCUUCUUCUUCUUUGUUUUUAAUUUUUGUAAGCUACAAUGUAAAUUACUUUUACAUUUUUUUUCAUGUAUAGGUUUGAAGGGAUAUAUAUAUAUAUAUAUAUUUUUUCUUUCUUUUGCCCCCUUUCUUUAGUCAACCAUAUGAGAAUUCUUUUUAAUUAUAAGAUAUUAUAUUCAACUAAAAAAUGUAAAUAUAAAUAAAAUAAGAUAAUUAAUAUAAUAUAAUAUAAAUAGUUUUAUAAUAUAAUAUAUUUUUAAUUUUUUUGGAUAUGUUUGAAGGGUUAUAUUUCUUCUUUUUCUUUCUUUUUUCUUCUUUGAUUUUUUUAAGCUAUAAGGUAAAAUAUUUUUAAAAAAAAUUCUUUUUUUUUCUUUUUUUUCUUUUUUCUUUCUUUUUUCUUCUGUGUUUUUAGUUUUUUAAGUUACAAAGUAAAUUAUUUUUUAUUUUUUUUCAUAUAUAGGUUGAAGGAAUAUUUGUUUUUUCUUCUUCUUUCUUGUAUCCCACUUUCUUUUGUUAAUUGUUUGAGAUCUCUUCUUAAUUAUAAUAUAUUAUAUUUAAUUAAAAAAAUAUAAGAUACAGGUACUCAAUCUAAUAUUUAUUUAUACAAUAUUUAGAGUAAAAUAUAUAUAUAUAUAUAUAUAUAUAAUUUAAAUAAAUAAAUCUAACUGGUCUUUUUAGUAUAUUAUAUUCUUUUUUAUAUCAUGUUUCGUUAUUCUGUGAGUGCUUAAAAUAAUAAUAAUAAUCACUUAAAAUUAUACAUUAAUUAAGCACAAAUAUAGGUGAUAUUUGAAUCCAACAUUUAGAUGAAGAUGUGUAUGCAUGUGUCUCAUUCUUAUUUUAAAUUAUUAAAUCACAUUUAAUUUGUUAUGUAACCUGAAAAAUAUAUUUGUAAUUAUUUCUAUGAUCUUUAUUUUGUUUCAUUAAAAGAAUAUUUCUUUUGGUACAUAAUUAAAAAAGUUUUGUUUAAAGGUGUAUUGUUUUUUAGGAAACAAAUAUUAAUUCUAUUGAAUUAAAUUAUUUUCAGAUAUUUAUGUUAUUUAUAGUGUUGUGGUCGAAAAGAUUUGAUACAUGAAGACAGAAAAUCAAUAUAAAAUGUUUAGCCAAAGAACUAUGGGUAGCACCUUUUUAAAGGCAUAAGAUAUUUUUUCUUAUAAUAUUUGUCCUUAUUCUUUAUUUUUAUUUUCUCCUUUUUUCUCAAUUUGGCUAUAUACACUGAACGGAGUAAAAGUUUUUACACUAGUAGUUCAAAUCCAACCGAAAAAUCUUCCACUAACUACUUUGAUUCAGCUUUUCUGGAGAAUCUAAACUUAAAAUUAAGAAUUAAAAACAUGAAUGCACGACGUUACGAAGUUACGAAUCAUAAGAAAAGUUCAAUUUCUUAUUUUCCAUCAUGAUUCUGAUUCGAUCUAAGUCUAAUAUUUCAGUUCCAGUGGAGCAAUUCACCAGAAUGAUAAUUAUACAGAUAGAAGAAAAAGCAAAAGAGGAAAAAAAAGAAGGAAAAUCAUACCACGGAAGUAGCCACCGGAGACGGCGUCGGAAUUUCAAUCGGCGGCUAAGACUGAUGAACUGAGCC
rnacentral:lncRNA from 1 species